AGCAUAAUCAUUAGUCUUUUAAUUGAAGGCUGGUAUGAAUGGUCGGAUGAAAUAUUAACUGUUUCAAUUAAAAUUAUUAUAGAAUUUUAUUUUUUAGUAAAAAAGCUAAAAUAAAAUUAAAAGACGAGAAGACCCUAUAAAUCUUUAUAUUUAAUUUAUUUAAAUGAAAAAGAUUUUUUUUAUUUAAAUAACUUUAAAUAUUUUAUUGGGGUGAUAAUUAAAUUUAAUAAACUUUAAUAAAUUAAGUCAUUAAUUUAUGAAUAUUUGAUCCAUUAAUAUUGAUUAAAAAUUUAAGUUACUUUAGGGAUAACAGCGUAAUUUUUUUGGAGAGUUCAUAUCGAUAAAAAAGAUUGCGACCUCGAUGUUGGAUUAAGAGAUAAAUUUGGGCGCAGCCGUUCAAAAUUUUAGUCUGUUCGACUAUUAAAUUCUUACAUGAUCUGAGUUCAAACCGGCGUAAGCCAGGUUGGUUUCUAUCUUUAAUAAUUGAAAAUAUUUUAGUACGAAAGGACCAAGUGUU
rnacentral:rRNA from 1 species